rnacentral:rRNA from 1 species
GACGAACGCUGGCGGCGUGCCUAAUACAUGCAAGUCGAACGAGAGCGACCGGUGCUUGCACUGGUCAAUCUAGUGGCGAACGGGUGAGUAACACGUGGGUAACCUGCUCAUCAGAGGGGGAUAACAUCCGGAAACGGAUGCUAAAACCGCAUAGGUCUUCGAGCCGCAUGGCUUGAAGAGGAAAAGGGGCGCAAGCUUCUGCUGAUGGAUGGACCCGCGGUGCAUUAGCUAGUUGGUGAGGUAACGGCUCACCAAGGCCGUGAUGCAUAGCCGACCUGAGAGGGUGAUCGGCCACAUUGGGACUGAGACACGGCCCAAACUCCUACGGGAGGCAGCAGUAGGGAAUCUUCCGCAAUGGACGCAAGUCUGACGGAGCAACGCCGCGUGAGUGAAGAAGGUGUUCGGAUCGUAAAACUCUGUUGUUAGAGAAGAACAAGUGCUAGAGUAACUGUUAGCGCCUUGACGGUAUCUAACCAGAAAGCCACGGCUAACUACGUG